rnacentral:rRNA from 1 species
CAGCCGCCACGGGAAUACGUAGGGUGCGAGCGUUAAUCGGAAUUACUGGGCGUAAAGCGUGCGCAGGCGGUUAUAUAAGACAGAUGUGAAAUCCCCGGGCUCAACCUGGGACCUGCAUUUGUGACUGUAUAGCUAGAGUACGGUAGAGGGGGAUGGAAUUCCGCGUGUAGCAGUGAAAUGCGUAGAUAUGCGGAGGAACACCGAUGGCGAAGGCAAUCCCCUGGACCUGUACUGACGCUCAUGCACGAAAGCGUGAGGAGCAAACAGGAUUAGAUACCCCAGUAGUCCCUGUCUCUUAUAC